rnacentral:rRNA from 1 species
AACGAACGCUGGCGGCAUGCCUAACACAUGCAAGUCGAACGAGACCUUCGGGUCUAGUGGCGCACGGGUGCGUAACGCGUGGGAACCUGCCCUUAGGUUCGGAAUAACUCCCCGAAAGGGGUGCUAAUACCGGAUAAUGUCUUCGGACCCAAGAUUUAUCGCCUUUGGAUGGGCCCGCGUUGGAUUAGCUAGUUGGUAGGGUAAAAGCCUACCAAGGCGACGAUCCAUAGCUGGUCUGAGAGGAUGAUCAGCGACACUGGGACUGAGACACGGCCCAGACUCCUACGGGAAGCAGCAGUGGGGAAUAUUGGACAAUGGGCGAAGGGCUGAUCCAGCAAUGCCGGGUGAGUGAUGAAGGCGUUAGGGUUGUAAAGCUCGUUUACCCGGGAUGAUAAUGACAGUACCGGGAGAAUAAGCUCCGGCUAACUCCGUG